UCCAGGCCUUCAGUGCAUCAUGCUGCAGCUUCCUGCUUCUACUGCUAUGCCUGCCUCAUGCAGCAAUGCCUCCACACCAGGAUGACCUCUUAUGCUUUUGGAAGUAAAAGCCCCAAAACAAUCUUCUAUAAGCUCUCCUGGUCAAGGGGUGAUGAUCAGAAUGGUCUCAAGCAACUCCAGAAUUUCCACACCAAAGCAGAAGGCUUAU